rnacentral:rRNA from 1 species
GAACGGAAAGGCCCUUCGGGGUACUCGAGUGGCGAACGGGUGAGUAACACGUGAGCAAUCUGCCCCCAGCUCUGGGAUAGCUCCGGGAAACCGGGAUUAAUACCAGAUACGACCACGGCCGACAUCAGCUGUGGUGGAAAGAAUUUCGGCUAGGGAUGAGCUCGCGGCCUAUCAGCUUGUUGGUGGGGUAACGGCCCACCAAGGCGACGACGGGUAGCCGGCCUGAGAGGGCGACCGGCCACACUGGGACUGAGACACGGCCCAGACUCCUACGGGAGGCAGCAGUGGGGAAUAUUGCGCAAUGGGCGAAAGCCUGACGCAGCGACGCCGCGUGCGGGAUGAAGGCCUUCGGGUUGUAAACCGCUUUCAGCAGGGACGAAGCGAAAGUGACGGUACCUGCAGAAGAAGCGCCGGCUAACUACGUGCCAGCAGCCGCGGUAACGCGUAGGGCGCAAGCGUUGUCCGGAAUUAUUGGGCGUAAAGAGCUCGUAGGCGGUCUGUUGCGUCCGCUGUGAAAUCUCGGGGCUUAACCCCGAGCCUGCAGUGGAUACGGGCAGACUAGAGGUAGGUAGGGGAGAAUGGAAUUCCUGGUGUAGCGGUGAAAUGCGCAGAUAUCAGGAGGAACACCGGUGGCGAAGGCGG